rnacentral:siRNA from 1 species
CUCCAACUUUUAUGAAUUGGAA